GAGAGGCUUUGCCAGACCCAAGCCAUCCUCCGUGAAGGAAACGCGUGUCCCCUGUGCUUCCAUCGUACGCGCGCUUACACAACCGCCUUUGUGACUCAUCCUUUUGGCUUCUGCAAUUGCGUUUAAUAAAGUGAAGGCUGAGGUUUCACCCCGCAGAGAACAAAGCCCUCCUGGAUGCAGGACGAUGCAUCGUCGAGCCGUCCCACGAGCGGUGCAUUCCUGAGAGCCGCUGAGAGCAGACGUCUGCGCUGCCUGCACCGGCUGCGUGCACCCUGCGUCCUGCUCUUGGGGGUGUGGAGGAUUUCUAAGUGUGCUGCUUUGAGGUGGGGAGAGUGUUAAAGAUGGGCACAGGCUUCUGCUUCACACAACCUGGACAAAUACCUCCUGACUAUGACUUAGAAGGCAAAGCUCAGCUCUACUUCCCUGUGUCCCUUAAAUGCGGGUGAUGCCCUGCUGUCUGCGUGCUGUUUUCAUCCCAGGGCCGAAGUGCAGCUUUGAGGUACAUGGGUCUCGAAGCUUCCUUUUCGGGGUUAUAAAGAGAGCACCUUGCCAUGCCACUGUCCCACGAGGGUGGGUGACUGCAUGGAGCCUGCAGUUACUUUGGAUGGAGGGUUAUGAGCAGACUCACUGCCCUGCCAGCUUCUUGACCAGCCUUAGGGAUGGUUCUCACCAGGUUUCUGUGCUGCCUGCCCAGCCUGAACAUGAAUGAUUGUCUCCAAGGACGGAUGAAUGCAUUGACUGCUGCUGAGCAUAAGCUGUGGUGCCACACUGGCUGCUGGUGCCUUGAUGCCGAAAGCAGGAAGGGGAGCAAGGGGAGGCAUGGGGGAGCACCAGCAGCUCCUCAAGCAUCCCCUGGACCAUCACCACCAAGUGCAGGUGCUCCCUCACUGCCUUCCUGCUGCUGACCAGGAAGACCACCACAGGUAGCAGCAGAGACUUCCACUGAGAGAGGUCGCUUUUCACCCUCUUCAGCUCAUCUGACCCCACUCAGGUGGAAGCAUCAGGUGCAUCAUCACCGCACCCUACAAUCCCAGUGGAGAUGCUGUCUAUGGAAAAGGCAGGCCAGUGAGCUCACUGGCAUUUUCUGAAGCAAUGCAUGUUGACAGUACUAACUACUCUGCACAGUGGGGGGAAUGCAGCUGGUAACUAAUGCAGGACAGUGGGGAUUCGUCAGUAUGUGUGUGUGUGGUUUUGCUUUUCGCUGUAUUGUCCUACAACCCAUAUGCCUCAGUGUGGGAUAUGUUAGUGGAAUUUUGCUGCUCCACAGCUGGGCGUUGUGCAGCCAGACCCACUCAUCCUUUUAACCAUCAAAGGUACGUGCUCCAUCCAUUUGUGUCUGCCUCGGGGCACCGCUCCGCACAUCUUUCUCAGCAGCAGUGCCAGCUUUAGGUAUUCCUGCCAACUCGACUAAAUCCGUGAGGUAAUGUGUAUCUGCUGAUCGAUCAGGGUUAAAAAUAACUUGGAUGACUUGGCUGGUUCCUCUUGCUGCACAAACAGCUGUGCUUGCCCAAGAGAAAGGCAGUGCAGAGGAACGAGAGGCUGGGGGGUGAGCACACCCUGCUCUGGCCUUGCUGAUAAGACACUGGUAAACACAAUAGUUCAGAUACGGAGCAGUUGUGUGUAGUCUAUAAUUCAAGUUCCAUUUUGGGAGCAGGGUGACUAUGGGAGUGGGGACUCUUGAGGAUUUAUCAGUGUUGAGACCACAUGUGCUGUUUAGCUCUGCUUGU